rnacentral:rRNA from 1 species
AACGAACGCUGGCGGCGUGGAUAAGACAUGCAAGUCGAACGGGAUAUUUUUGUAGCAAUACCGAAAUGUUCAGUGGCGAACGGGUGCGUAACACGUGGGUAACAUGCCGGGAAGAGGAGAAUAGCCCAGGGAAACUUGGAUUAAUGCUCCAUGUGGUCGCAAGACUAAAGACGGGGUAACCUGUCGCUUCCUGAUUGGCCCGCGGCCUAUCACCUAGUUGGCGAGGUAACGGCUCACCAAGGCAACGACGGGUAGCUGGUCUGAGAGGAUGACCAGCCACACUGGAACUGAGACACGGUCCAGACACCUACGGGUGGCAGCAGUCGAGAAUCUUUCACAAUGGGGGCAACCCUGAUGGAGCGACGCCGCGUGGAGGAUAAGGUCUUCGGAUUGUAAACUCCUGUCAUGCGAGAGUAAGGCCCCGCGUUAACUGCGUGUGGGAUUGACAGUACCGCAAGAGGAAGAGACGGCUAACUCUGUGCCAGCAGCCGCGGUAAUACAGAGGUCUCAAGCGUUGUUCGGAAUUACUGGGCGUAAAGGGUGCGUAGGCUGCGCAGAAAGUCAGGUGUGAAAUCCAGGAGCUCAACUUCUGAAUUGCACCCGAUACUCCUGUGCUAGAGGAUUGGAGAGGAGCUUGGAUUCUCGGUGUAGCAGUGAAAUGCGUAGAGAUCGAGAGGAACACUAGUGGCGAACGCUGGGCUCUGGACAUAUCUGACGCUGAGGCACGAAAGUCAAGGGAGCAAACGGGAUUAGAUACCCGGGUAGUCCUGACAGUAUACGGUGCACGCUUGGUGUGGAAGUGACCCCUUCCGUGCCGAGCUAACGCGACAGCGUGC